UGUUCAGCUAAGCGCUGUCAAGCUGUAUUCGUCAGCUAGCUCGUGAAGAUCAUAAGCUGCCAUCAUGGUGAAGCAAUUCACUGGCAAGACGCACCAGACGGAAAAUUCCGAGUACCUCGACGCCUUUCUCACUGCCUACGCACGGGCACUGGUAACGUCGAUGUCCAGCUCCUCAAGGCAGCACCAGCACAGCAGCAACAGCAGCAACACAACAACAACAAUAAAUUCAGUAAGAGAGAUGGCCGGUGGACAGAUGGUCAACACUCAGAGGGAUUUCAGUCAAAACACGUGAAAUAACCCAAACUAUCGGUGACGUCGCAUAGAAGAUGAAUUACAAUGCUGUUCAAGGAUCAUUGGAUGUACGUGUAUUUGCUCUGUUUGCUUUCCGAUUAUCAUACGGACAGCAUUGUUUCUACUAGGAGUUUAAUAUAUCAAAUAAUGAACUAACUUCAGAUUUUCUGUCUUUCACAGUCGAUGUUUCAGAAGUAUAAUAAAAUCUUCAAGGCGUUGGUGUAAAAUACAUGACUACGUGACAGAAAGGAUAACACUAGCUACAUCAGAUCAGCGAACGAUGAUUACAAUGAGCUGUCUUGUCCAAGAUAAUAAUGUAUCUGUUUGUAAUGAUUUUGUAGCGUCUUGCUUUGUAGAGAGUUAGUUAGCUAGUUUCAUGUUGCAUGGACCAUUUACAUGAUAAAUAGUAAC